UACGGGGGGGGCAAGCGUUGUUCGGAAUUACUGGGCUUAAAGGGCGCGUAGGCGGGCCAGACAGUCUGUGGUGAAAGCCUCCAGCUUAACUGGAGAAGUGCCGUGGAUACUGCUGGCCUCGAGGAGGGUAGGGGCAUCUGGAACGGUCGGUGGAGCGGUGAAAUGCGUUGAUAUCGACCGGAACUCCGGUGGCGAAGGCGAGGUGCUGGACCCUUUCUGACGCUGAGGCGCGAAAGCCAGGGGAGCAAACGGG
rnacentral:rRNA from 1 species